rnacentral:rRNA from 1 species
UCGGAAUUGCUAGUAAUCGUAGGUCAGCAUACUACGGUGAAUACGUUCCCGGGCCUUGUACACACCGCCCGUCAACCAUGAGAGUUGGCAACACCCGAAGUCGGUAGUCUAACCGCAAGGAGGACGCCGCCGAAGGUGGGGUUGAUGAUUAGGGUUAAGUCGUAACAAGGUACC